rnacentral:rRNA from 1 species
GACGAACGCUGGCGGCGUGCUUAACACAUGCAAGUCGAACGGUAAGGCCCUUCGGGGUACACGAGUGGCGAACGGGUGCGUAACGCGUGAGUAACCUGCCCUUCACUCUGGGAUAACAGUUGGAAACGGCUGCUAAUACCGGAUAUUCAGCUCCUGUCGCAUGGUGGGGGUUGGAAAGUUUUGGUGGUGGAGGAUGGGCUCGCGUCCUAUCAGCUUGUUGGUGGGGUGAUGGCCUACCAAGGCGUCGACGGGUAGCCGGCCUGAGAGGGCGACCGGCCACAUUGGGACUGAGAUACGGCCCAAACUCCUACGGGAGGCAGCAGUGGGGAAUAUUGCACAAUGGGCGGAAGCCUGAUGCAGCAACGCCGCGUGCGGGAUGACGGCCUUCGGGUUGUAAACCGCUUUCAGCAGGGACGAAGCGCAAGUGACGGUACCUGCAGAAGAAGCACCGGCUAACUACGUG